AUAUAUUCCUAAAUUUUGAAAUAGUUUGAUAAGUUUGUUAGUUUUGAAAUUUAAUUCUUAUAUGUAGGAGUUAUGUGUGUUCUUUCCUAAAAUUGGCCAAUUUGAGAGUUUUAACGAGUGGGAAUUACACAAUUGCAGGUAUUUGGAGAUCACUUUGAAAAAACCAGGUCCAAAGUUCAAUUAAUCAAAAAUCAGGUUUAUAUAUAUAAUUACUCGACCUCUAAAUCCCCAAAUUAAUUCCAAUCCCUAAUCAUUUCAACCCAUUCCAUUACAAACAUUUUCCCAUCCCUGUCUAUCCCUUCUCUGAUCAGCGACACCUUCGAACUCUGCAACCGGCGAUGAAGGAGAUGUGGUGGUGCCGACGGAGGAGCCGACGCGACUUUCAAUUUUCAGCAGGGGUAGCAUUUGCAGUAGCAUCGCGACGCUGCAAGUGAUGGUUUCGGCCCCUUUUCUUCCUUCUCUCUCUUCGACAUUGGUGACCCAUUCCUCUGUUGUUCGCCGUUGAUAGUGGUGGUGUGGUUCAUUGACCAAUCGACGUCGUCAUGCACAGCGGUUCUCUCAAUUGCAGUGACGAGGCGAUGGCACUUCUCUGUUCACGAAGGCGACGGUGGUGCACUAGUACUGAUACAGAUGUUGUGAGAUGUGCGUCGUGGGUGCGUGGUGGUGAUGAGUGUGGCUGCGGUGGUGUUGGCGUCGUGGUGGGUGUAUUGUGGGGUCAGAUAUAGUUGGUGGUGACCUUCUUGUUGUGUUGUUAGCACUAAAAUCGAUGGCAAAGCUACAGUUCUCUCUUUUUCGAUUUGCACUUUUGGGGAGGGGGGCUUUUAGGGUUUUUCGAUCCGGCGGCUAUGGGGAUCUGCGACGGUUGUUUUGGAGGUGCUAGUGAGGUGUUGAUUAUGUGUGGUGGUGUUUCUGGUGCGGUGUCAGUGGUGGCUUUGGUCGUGUGAUUUUUCAGCAUGUUUUGUUGUGUUUUUGAGGUGGUGGCGUCGUUUGUGACCGACUAAUUAGGCGUAUGUAACCAACUAAUUAGGUGCCUGUGACCAAAAAUUUGUCGUAAAUCAGUAUCAGAGUUGGGUGUUUGGCAUAUGUGAU
rnacentral:lncRNA from 1 species